rnacentral:rRNA from 1 species
GACGUAGGGCGCGAGCGUUGUCCGGAUUUAUUGGGCGUAAAGCGCUCGUAGGCGGUGUGUCGCGUCGGCCGUGAAAACCUGCAGCUUAACUGUGGGCGUGCGGUCGAUACGGGCAUCACUGGAGUUCGGCAGGGGAGACUGGAAUUCCUGGUGUAGCGGUGAAAUGCGCAGAUAUCAGGAGGAACACCGGUGGCGAAGGCGGGGUCUCUGGGCCGAUACUGACGCUGAGGAGCGAAAGCGUGGGGAGCGAACAGG